AUACGGAGGGUGCAAGCGUUACUCGGAAUCACUGGGCGUAAAGCGCGCGCAGGCGGCUUGAUAAGUUGGAUGUGAAAGCCUACGGCUCAACCGUAGAACUGCAUCCAAAACUGUCAAGCUAGAGUCUGGGAGGGGAAGAUGGAAUUAGUUGUGUAGGGGUAAAAUCCGUAGAGAUAACUAGGAAUACCAAAAGCGAAGGCAAUCUACUGGAACACUACUGACGCUGAGGCGCGAAAGCGUGGGGAGCAAACAGGAUUAGAAACCCCAGUAGUCC
rnacentral:rRNA from 1 species